GCCGGAAUAGCUCAGUUGGGAGAGCGUUGGACUUAAGAUCUAAAGGCCCCCGGUUCAAUACCGGGUUCCGACA